rnacentral:tRNA from 3 species
UAGUGGCUCAGUUGGUUAGAGUGCCGGCCUGUCACGCCGGAGGUCGAGGGUUCGAGUCCCUUCUA